ensembl:lncRNA
GUGCCUCAGCCUCUUGAGUAGCCAGGAUUACAGGUGUGUGCCACCAUGCCUGGUUAAUUUUUAUAUUUUUAGUAAAGACAAGGUUUCACCAUGUUGACCAGGCUGGUCUUGAACUCCUGACCUCAAGUGACCCACCCCCCUUGGCCUCCCAAAGUGCUGGGACAGUGAGCCACUGCGCCCAGCCUUCCCAUCUUAUUUCUUAGAAGUAAGGCUUCAAAUCCCUUUAAUGAAGUGCGUAUGGAAAGCUAAGUCAUCACUGGCCAUUAUUAAUUUAGUCUAACUUAGUUUAUAAGACUAUUUCCUUAUUGGACCCUGUAAGAAAAGUGCACAGCCUACUUAAAUUUUGUGGAGAAUGAUGCUGGUGAUAAAGGACUGGGUUUCUGGAAAUUCAUGGUGUUGGUCAAUAUGCAGUAAAUAGAGGAAAGAAAAAAAGAGCUUAGGAGAGGGGUCAAAAAAGAAUGCAGAGGGUAAAGAGCUGGCCCCAACCAAACUUUGCACAUGGUGGGAUGCUCCACACUUGCAUUAUGCUUUUCUGUGUCAUUUUGUGUGAACUCACAUGGUUUUAGAAUCAGAAUACAGUUUGCAAGAGAGUCAGUAAACAAUAAUCUUAUAGAGGGAACAAUUUCUAAAAUAAUAAUAGUUAUCUUUUAUUGUGCACAUAGUACGUGUCUGGCACAUUACUAAGUAUUUUGUGUGCAUUCUCUCUCUUAAUUCCUUCCAAUAAAUUUAGGGAGUGACUAGUAGUACAAAUUAGGAAAGGAAGCAGACGGUAUUCGGAAACUUUUCAAAAGGUAAUAAAACCAAUAAGUGGGAAAUUUGAACUCAAAUCUCUCUGACCUUGAUUCUCUUCCUGUUUUCCUCCUUGAGGAAGAUGUAUGUUUUUGCUACCAGCUGGGAAAAAAGCUUUGAUUUUAAAGGGAUUGCAUGGUUGGAUGAGACUCGUGUGAUACGGUCUUCUCUGUAUUUUAAAGUGAACUGACUUGACACUUUAGUCACAUCUGUGAAAUCCCUUCACAAGCUGUACCUAGGUUAGUGUUUGAAUAAACAUGGGACAGGAAUCUGAAUUUUUAGAAUUCCACCUGCCACAUUUUAGCUUUCAAAAUUUUGGACUGAUGAUAAUUGAGUUAAUUUUUUAUGUAACUUUUUUGACAAAAAAUCAAUUAAUACUUAUAAACACUAAAGCUAACCUACUGAAGGUAAGUAUCAUUAUAAUCCAUUAUAAUCCAUUCAUUAAAAAAUUCUUUAUUUUCUUCAUAUUUUUCUCCAUCAUGGAUUCUUUGGGUUAUAAUACUGCAGUAUUUCAUCAAACAUUUCUUCAAUUUUUGCCAUUUGUUUGGAGUUCAAAGGAAAUGUCAAUUCACACCUCCCCAGUUUUUAAUCAUGCAAAAUAUUCUAUUGCUGAUUUUGGAUAAAAACACAGUUGACAGAAAAAAAAUCUAUUCACUCAAUAAGGGAAAACAGUGACUUCAUGACUAUUUAUUUUAUAUUUCAGAAAAAAAACUGAGUAUUGGCAGAUCGGAGGCUGACGAAAGUUACUCUCGUCCAGUUUGGGGAUCAAAUGCAAAUAUCCCCUUCUUUGCUUCUUCCUAAUGAAUUGCAAUUGAAAUGUUACAUUUUCAUUUUAGAUUGACAAAGGGAAAAACACCCAGCAAUAUUCUGAGGCCAAAAAUUAUGGCUGGAACCUUCAUGAAAGCUUUGUUCCCUGAAUGCUGGUUUAUCAAAACUGCCCAGUGUCUCAUUUAAGUGAACUAUUCUAAUGAAAAAGAUUUGGUGAGCAAGCAUUGGUCUAAGCAACAUUGCUUUCCCAGUCUGUCUUCUAGUUUCAUAUGGGAAAACCUGGAUGUUUCAAAAUAGUCACAGGUUAUGAUAAUAUUCAGAGAAAUACAGAAUAUUCCAAGUGGGGUAUUGGUGAGAUAGACAAAAUGUGUUUCAUCUUUGUGAAACACAGUUACCUUUAAACAUUGUAAAAACUCCCAACAUCAGUCCUGUAAGGUGCUGGACACUUCUUUUGGUGCUGCAAAAAUAUACGAGAACAGAACAAAAAUCAUGACCUGAUGAAGGCUAUGUAAGAAUGACUUUAGCCAGGUGCACUAGGAGACUGUGCUAUCUUAAACCUAUCAAGUAGGAUACAAUGUCACAAUGAAACUUACAGCCAAAUUGAUAUUCUCUCAUGUGACAUGUGUUUGGGGUUAGACCCCUUGAAUAACUCCAGUCCUGGGGUUGCUGGUCAAACAUAACAAAAUCCUUACAAAGCCACUGAGGAAGAGAACGACAGGAGAUUUCACCAUCCUAGAGGUCCAUCCAACCUUGGAUUCCAGUGGAUAACUCCACAUUGUUUUUCUGUCCUCAAAAUGGCACAACAGAGUUGUACUGAGAGAUAGAAAGGAAUUGAUAGCCUCCACUGAGAACCCUUUCUGCCUAAAAUGAAGUCAUAUGUGAUAGGUUGAAUAAAUGUCCCUGAGAUGUCUACAUCCGAGUCCCCAGAACCAGUGAACAUGUUGCUUUCUGUAGUAAGUGGGACUUCGAAGAUGUGAUUAAAUUCAGGAUCUCAAGAUGGGAAGCUUGGUUUGGAUUAUUCGGGUAGACUCAAUGUGAUCACAGGGGUCCUUAUAUGAGGGAGGGAGGAGGAUCAGUCAUUAGUUUGAUAUGAUGGCAAAAGAGGUUGGAGUAAUUCAAGGAAGAGGCCCCUGAGCCAAGAAAUGCAGGCAGCUUCUAAAAGCUGGAUAGGCAAGAAAACAAUCCCCUGGGACUUCCGGAAGGAACCAAUUCUGCGGAUACCUUGAUUUUUUCUCUGUGAGGCUGACGUAGACUUGUGACUUCUGGAACUGCAAGAUAAUGAAUUUGUGUUGUUUUAAGCCACCAUUUGUGGUAACUUGUUACAAUAGUAAUAGGAAUGAACACACCACUGAAGACUGCAUUAAACGCCUGAUUUCUUAAUAAUUAUUUUUAAAAAUAGCAAGUGUACCACUUUCAGACUUCACCUGGGGAAGCUACACUUUUUUUUUUCUUUCUUUUAGGAGGGGUCUCACUCUGUCACCCAGGCUAGAGUGCAGCGGCGUGAUCUUGGCUCACUGCAACCUCUACCUCCCAGGCUCAAGUGAUCCUCCCACCUCAGCCUCCAGGGUAGCUGGGACUACAAGUGCAUGCCACCACGCCCGGGCAGUUUUCAUAUUGUUUGUAGAGAUGGGGUUUCACCAUGUUGCCCAGGCUGGUCUGGAACUCCAGGACUCAAGCGAUCUGCCUGCCUCAGCCUCUUAAAGUGCUAGGAUUAUAGGCACGGGCCACCUCGCCUGGCCACUACACAAUUAUUGAAAAGGCUCAGACACAUUUCUUACAAGAAGAGCUCAUACCUAAAACACUUCACUAUGUGGUGGGCAUUGUUUUUAAUGCUUGGCAUAUGUAUUAUUAACUAAGUUAAUCCUCAAGAGAACUCUUUGAGGUAGGACUAUUACUAUGCAGUUUUAACAGAUGAGGAAACUGAGGCACAGUUUCCCAGUUAGUGAUAGAGCAAGGAUUGAGACCUAAGUAGCUUGGCCCCUUAGACCAUGCUCCACUUUGCCCCUGCCUUAGGGGCACACCUGGGCACUGUUCAAUUGGGCUUUGCAGGGAGAUUUUAGCCUUUGAACAAAGCCAGCAGCCCCUUAGAAUAAAGACUAGUGAAGCAGGCCAGGUCAUUUUGCGGAAUUAAACUGCUUUUGAUCUAUGAUGAAGUGUAAUUAUAAUGAUGAUCAUCUCGUUAGCUUGGCAUCCUUGGGGGGCUUGGCAGGCAGCUCCUGAAGAAAUUUUGCAAAAAUCUUUGUAGUCAGGGCAACUACUUUGAAACAAAUGUUUCAUCCUCCCAGGAGAGUACUUUGAAGGAAAAUAUCUAUUUGCUAUGGAUACCUUAAGUAUCUGCUUCUGAAAGAAAUAUUUGGGAAGAAGAAGUAGAGCCUGACAUUGAAACAAAACAAAACAGAACAAAAAGCAGGGAAGUUUUAGUAUUCUAUCAUGACACUUUCAUAACCAGCUCCCCUCCAUCAUUCAACUAUUUUUCACCUACAGCGAUCUUCCCUGCCCCCAAAAUUUCCAACUUAAUAUCAGGUUCAUUUUUGUUUCUUUGUUUAUUUGGGGGGAUCUGUUUUUUUUAUUUUCUUUUCUUUUUUCUAAAUUAAAAGAAAUACAGUUAACGUGAUUGGCCCUUCUAACUAGUUAUCCACAGUUCUUGACUAUCCUCAAUUCAUUUACUUUUAUUUAUUCAAUAAAAUGAAUAAAUAAAAUUCAUUUAUUCAACCUGUAUUUACUGAGCACCUACUACAUGCCAGGGAGUAUUUUCGCUACUGAGGAUGUAAUGAUGAAAAGACAGGCAAGGUUCACCCAUGUUGCACCAUGUAUCCACACUUCAUUCCCUUUUAUGGUUAUUCCAUUGUACAGAUAUACCACAUUUUGUUUAUCCGUUC